CGGCCACUGGAAGAAACGGUUAAAUUCGCCUGGCUCUCAACCAGGAGUUCUCAUAAGAGAUAUUGUCAGUUCAAAUCUGACGUGGUCGA
rnacentral:tRNA from 1 species